rnacentral:lncRNA from 1 species
CGCUGGUCCCCAGUGGGAAGAGGAGGCACAGAGAAGUGCUUGGGUGGAAGAGUGGGCGGCUUUACCAACACUCUCCUGGCAGUUGAUCCAGACUGAGAUCGGAGACAAGGAUGUAGAAUUAGAGGGUAAGAAGUUUUAUUCGCUAUUCCUGAAGCAGGUCUAGGCUGCAAGCAUGGAGAAUAAUCUAGGUGGAUUUUUCAAGGAGCCACUGAAUAUGUAUGAGAGAGGAUCUGAACACGGGGAAGGAAGCAGGAUGGAUAAAGACAGAGGGGAGGAAGGCCUGGGACUGCAGCACGAAUGUGGCUGGGCAGAGUAGGGGAGAAAGGAGGCUCAGGAGGAAGGAAAGGAGAAGGGAAUAGAGGCCGAGAGCUGGGCCAGGAGCUGGCAGAGCGGCCAGAUGGAGCGGCAGAGACAGAGUGCAGGGCCAGAGGAAUGGCAGGCGGCGAGCCUGGCAGCCAAGCCCCGCGGCUUCCGAGGGAAGCAGAUGCUUCCAGGGAGCAGCAGCCGGUGGCCCAGCAAGUGGAGGGUCCUUGUUGACUCAGGCCCAGUGCAGCCUCCUUGUCUUUGCAGCGUCAGCAGCCUUAGCCUGGAGGGCGACCCAGGUGCAGGGAGGCAGGUGAGGGGCCACCCUGCCCUGUGGGGCUGUCUUUCCUCUUCUCCGUCCCCAACCAGGCUCGGCCAGCCCCUCAUGAGGCCCGGGAAGCCAGAAGCUGCCACUUCUUACACGAGAGGAAGCAGGCUGUGCUGGAGGGGUGAGUGUGAGCUGCAGCAGAGUUUGCAGAACUGUGUCCCUUCCAAGCCACUGGGCCAGAGUGGCCGUCCUCACCAUCAGGAAAUUCAUCCUCAUAUUCCAGCUUAUUGUUACUCCCUCUUGUUCUGGAGACCGGUGGGCCAGAUGCUGCAAUGGUGUCACCCCAGCAAACACACUUUCUUACUUUCCCAUCUUUUCCGAAGCUUCCAGCCACAGUCCCUUCAACCUGAGGCACAAGAAAGAGUACAUUCCUUCCAGCAAGUAGCAAAGGACAGCAAAGCCGGGCUUUUCCAGGAGCCUCCGGAUGCCUUGCAGAAGCCUAUGGAAGGCCCCACAACUCCAUGGGCCCUGAGCAUUGUUUUCUCUCAGGGCCUGUGUCUCUCAUCCCUCAGCCAAGCCAGUCACCAGCUCCCAGCCCUCCCUCCCCCCUCCUCCCCCCUCUGUUUGCACAACCACUUGAAGCCUUAUCUGGGGCUCUCUGACAGGACUGUGUUGUGA